AUGUCAUGGUUCUGCUUAACUGCAAACUAAAGUUAUUGGUCUUGGGAAAGAACAUGUGCGUGUGAAUGGAAUUCAUGUUCUAUGGCACAUCAGCAAGUGAAUUUCCAAGACUUUUCUCUUAUAAACUAACUGUUCAAGUUAGUAAAUGGUCAUUUCAAUUUUUCUAUUAUUUUUGCUUUUCUUGAAGAAGAUGGAAGGAAAGAGAGAGGAAGAGUAUUAAAAGAAGGGAAACUUGUCAUAGUUCCUUAUUAUAAAAAAGCACAGGUUCUAUAUGGAGAGUUACGAAAAAUUAUGCUGUGAAUGGAUAAUUAUGAAUGUAAUGCACUCCACUAUUGUCAUGUAUGUAAGAAAUAAAUAAAAAACAAACAAAGAAAAAAAACCACAGGUAAAUUUUCUAUGAUUGAUCAUUACCUGAAGUGUUCAAAAUCCUGACCAACUAUACAAAAGCUAUACAAAAUGAUGCUUCAUUAUCUAGAACUAUUUAUAGAAGAUAAGCCAGACCUUGUUAAAAAACAUUAAGACCCUGAUUAACUUAGAGGUUUAUAUUACUGGAUGAAUUCUCAAAUUUCUACCCAUCAAAUUCUGCCCAUACACACACACACACACACACACAAAUACAAUACAAUCAAAAUCCCAAGAGAUGUUGGUGGAACCAGGACAAUUCAAAAAUUUAUAUGGAAAUUCAAGUGGCCAAGAUAUUGCUGAGGAAAAAAGGUGAGAGGACUUAUUCCAAAUAUAAAAUUACAAUGAAUAGGGUAGUAUGGUAUUACUGCAAGGAGAGACAAACAAAUCAAUGGGACAGAAUAUAGAAUUGAAAGAUAGACAUAGAUCUAUACAGUUACCUAAUUUAUUACUAAACUGGCAUUCAUAUCACUGCAGAAAAGAUACACUUUUAAAUAUAUGAUACUGGAGCAACUGAAUUCCCCUACUGUGGGAAAGAUGAAAUGAGUCCUUCCCUAUAGAAAUUAAUUACAGGUAUUGUAAAGUCCUAAAUGUUAAAACAAAAAAAUAGAAAGCUUUUAGAAGAGAACGCAGAAAAUCUUCAUUAUUUCAAGGUAGAAGAAAAUUUCUAAAGCACUAAUCAUAGGAAGAGACUUCUUUCUAUCAAAACUCAGAACUUCAACCAAAGAGAACAAAGAGUGAAAAAGACCCAAACAGGAUAAAAUAUUUAUUACAUAUAUAACUGACAAAAGGCUAGCAGAAUAUAUAUAUG
rnacentral:lncRNA from 1 species